rnacentral:rRNA from 1 species
UACGUAGGUGGCAAGCGUUGUCCGGAUUUACUGGGCGUAAAGAGCGCGCAGGCGGUCGAGUAAGUCGAAUGUGAAAGCCCCCGGCUCAACUGGGGAGGGUCAUUCGAUACUGUUCGACUUGAAGGCAGGAGAGGGCAGCAGAAUUCCCGGUGUAGUGGUGAAAUGCGUAGAUAUCGGGAGGAAUACCAGUGGCGAAGGCGGCUGCCUGGCCUGUUCUUGACGCUGAGGCGCGAAAGCUAGGGGAGCAAACGGG